UGCCUUGGAGAGGGGGAAUAACACUCCGAAAGGAGUGCUAAUACCGCAUGAUGCAGUUGGGUCGCAUGGCUCUGACUGCCAAAGAUUUAUCGCUCUGAGAUGGCCUCGCGUCUGAUUAGCUAGUGGGCGGGGUAACGGCCCACCUAGGCGACGAUCAGUAGCCGGACUGAGAGGUUGACCGGCCACAUUGGGACUGAGACACGGCCCAGACUCCUACGGGAGGCAGCAUG
rnacentral:rRNA from 1 species